UGGGGAAUAUUGCACAAUGGGGGGAACCCUGAUGCAGCCAUGCCGCGUGAAUGAAGAAGGCCUUCGGGUUGUAAAGUUCUUUCGGUGACGAGGAAGGUUGAUAGGUUAAUAGCCUAUCAAAUUGACGUUAAUCACAGAAGAAGCACCGGCUAACUCCGUGCCAGCAGCCGCGGUAAUACGUAGGUCCCGAGCGUUGUCCGGAUUUAUUGGGCGUAAAGCGAGCGCGGGCGGUUAGAUAAGUCUGAAGUUAAAGGCUGUGGCUUAACCAUAGUACGCUUUGGAAACUGUUUAACUUGAGUGCAAGAGGGGAGAGUGGAAUUCCAUGUGUAGCGGUGAAAUGCGUAGAUAUAUGGAGGAACACCGGUGGCGAAAGCGGCUCUCUGGCUUGUAACUGACGCUGAGGCUCGAAAGCGUGGGGAGCAAACAGGAUUAGAUACCCUGGUAGUCCACGCCGUAAACGAUGAGUGCUAGGUGUUAGACCCUUUCCGGGGUUUAGUGCCGUAGCUAACGCAUUAAGCACUCCGCCUGGGGAGUACGACCGCAAGGUUG
rnacentral:rRNA from 1 species